rfam:Leucosporidium creatinivorum strain 62-1032 BCR35scaffold_95, whole genome shotgun sequence.
GGGGAUGUAGCUCAGGGGUAGAGCGCUUGCUUAGCAUCUUUUCAACAAGAAAUCGCUUGCAUGAGGUCCCGGGUUCGAUUCCCUGCCUCUCCA